GGCAGGGCUCGCUGCUGGGGAGCGGCGGCUGCGGCAGCGUUUACUCCGGGACCCGGCUCGCCGACGGACCCUGUCAGACCCUAUAAAAGUGUGCUACAGAUAGAAAUAAACGGCGCUCACUAUACUUCUGUGGAGACUCGAACACCAGAAUACAGCCCACCGGAAUGGAUCCUCUUCGGCUGCUACCGUGGCCAGCCAGCCACCAUCUGGUCCCUGGGUAUCCUGCUCUACGACCUGGUCUGCGGGCACCUUCCUUUCCACACCAAUGAGGACAUCAUCCGGGGCCAGCUCUUCUUCCCACCCCGGGCAUCUCAAGGCUUCCUUGCUGAAUCUCACUGAAGGGGAUGUGAAGAAGGAGUCAUUGGGUCUCCCUCUGAUCCCCCCGAUACGCAGGGCAGUAAGUCCCGAUGUUGGCAGUGCUGCAGGGUCUCUGAAAAGCUCUCUGCAGCUGGAUGUCCAAGAGUCCCAGGAGAUGAGCUUCUUCUAGAGACACAAUGUCAAGGAAGAAGUGGGUGGACACCUCCCAUAAAGAGCAGCCCUUUGCAGCCUCUCCAUCCAGGUGGCCUCCCUCCCCUGCCUGGCUGGAAGGCUGAUGCUCAGACCUCCCACCCUCUGGGCCUCACCUUAGCCCCACCUGGCAUGCCCAGCUGCUUCUGCUAGUAUUUAAGGAGCUCUUAAUAAUACUGUGCUACUUAAACGCACAUUGGGAUGUAGCU